GGUAGGGCAGCUGAGGUAGGCGGUGGAUUGUAGCCCCACACACGGAGGUUUAAGCCCUCCCUCUAUCA
rnacentral:tRNA from 1 species